AUCCUCGGCCAUAGAAAGUGUGAAGCUCAGCGUCCCGUCAGAUCCGCUUAGAUAAGUCGCUUAUCGCUCAGUUAGUACCAGGGUGGGGGACCACCUGGGAAUCCUGGGUGCCGAGGUUU
rfam:Cryptococcus depauperatus CBS 7841 supercont1.32, whole genome shotgun sequence.